GCUGGCGCGCAGGACCGCGGGCAUUUACCCGUGCUUUCCCAAGCCUGGAAGAACUCGUCAUGCUCUUUGUAGCGUGGUGCUUCUGUUGCUCACAGGAUGUUUGCCACACGAGUCACUCGAGAGAAUCUCUGAGUCCUGGCGAGGGCUUUCUGAGGCUUCGUGUGUUAGCAGCUGUUGUCUUCCAACUCAGCGGCAGGUUUGCCUUUCCCCACGGACACUCUGGACCUUGUAGCUCCUCAAGCUUCCCUGUCUAUUGAGCAGAUAGGAAGCCGUGUCAAAUAUGUGGCACCUUGAGGAAAUGCCUAGUGAAUGACAGUAUGUCCUAUUGUGCUCUAACUUUAUUUCAGCCUUAUUUCUUUUCUGAAUAUUAUUUUUCAUUUAUCUUCAUUUCCUUACCUAUUUUCUUUUCUUCUAAAGUAUGUAUCUUUGUUAGCUCCAUCAUCCUUUUUGGAAUGAGCAAGUAUAAAAAUAAGUAAAUAAAUAAGACCCAUCCUAAGUAUUUUAAGAAACCACCCUUUUGCGGCACACUUGCUACCUUGGUCUUAGCUCUGGGCUUUGGUGUCCUCUGGCAGUCCUGCUGCAUUGCCUUCUCUCCCCCAUCUGCCCACCCCUGUCCCAGAGAGAUUUUUCUGUAGCCCCUCAUCUGCAGAGUCCGACAGCUCAGGGUCGAGGGUCUUUCUUAGCAGUAAUCACCCACUAUGCUCUCACCCCUCCAUUUCUGGACAUGCUUCCUGUGGCUUCUCUCCUGCGCUUUACACUUCAGCAGUUCUUGUUUCUGCUCACUCUGCCUUUGUUUGUCAUUUCCUGGAUUUGAAGCUGUUCUGCUCUUUUCACCUUUCUCUUCUCAAGGUAAACUUCCUCUGUGAAACCUCCGCUGAUGCCCUGCAGCAAGGUUGACCACUUCCUGAGUGUUACUUCCUCUCUUGGUGCAUAUGUCUGGUUGCACUAACCAGGCUGCUGCUAGCCCAAAGGCACCUUUGUGCAAAUUAGAAAAAGACAACCAUCCCCAUCCCUUCUUCAAGAUACUUUAUAGUACUUCCAACUGUUGGCAAACUGUCUUAAUAAAGAUACAAAUCUUUGAUUUCUCUAAUGUGCAUGGUGCCCUACAAGGGUUGUGCAGUGCAUAGCCGUGCAGUUGCAUGUGAUAGAUCUAUGUUAUAAUUAUUUGUUUAAUUGUCUGUAUUCCCCUCAGGACCAAGGAAAAUUCCUUAUAUCUUGAUACUGUUUUUAUAUUCUUACUGUCUGACCAGAUCAGACCCUCAGUAACCGUUUGCUAAACAAAAGAAGGAAUGAAGGUACAAAUAUGUAUCCACCUUGUCUGGAAAAAUAGCAGGAAAGGCAUGCCUGCCAAGGACUUUUACACUGAACAGACAACUUGCCUUUGAUGAUUUUCAAGAGAGUUGUGCUAUGAUGUGGCAAAAGUAUGCAGGAAGCAGGCGGUCAAUGCCUCUGGGAGCAAGGAUCCUUUUCCACGGUGUGUUCUAUGCCGGGGGCUUUGCCAUUGUGUAUUACCUCAUUCAAAAGUUUCAUUCCAGGGCUUUAUAUUACAAGUUGGCAGUGGAGCAGCUGCAGAGCCAUCCCGAGGCACAGGAAGCUCUGGGCCCUCCUCUCAACAUCCAUUAUCUCAAGCUCAUCGACAGGGAAAACUUCGUGGACAUUGUUGAUGCCAAGUUGAAGAUUCCUGUCUCUGGAUCCAAAUCAGAGGGCCUUCUCUACGUCCACUCAUCCAGAGGUGGCCCCUUUCAGAGGUGGCACCUUGACGAGGUCUUUUUAGAGCUCAAGGAUGGUCAGCAGAUUCCUGUGUUCAAGCUCAGUGGGGAAAACGGUGAUGAAGUGAAAAAGGAGUAGAGACGACCCAGAAGACCCAGCUUGCUUCUAGUCCAUCCUUCCCUCAUCUCUACCAUAUGGCCACUGGGGUGGUGGCCCAUCUCAGUGACAGACACUCCUGCAACCCAGUUUUCCAGCCACCAGUGGGAUGAUGGCCUCCCUAUUCCCUGAGACACAACAGUAUUGAAAUUGGGCCAAUUAAUAACCCCACAGUGGCCUCUCACUAAAUGUGAGAGGUGAGGAAGCUGCAGGAGAAAAUUUGAAGCUAGCAGUGUUCAUGAGAUGUAAGUAAAGAAGCCAUCUCCAUAAAAGUACAACGUGACGCAGCAAGUGCUGAUGGAGAAGCUGUAGAAGUUACACAGAAGAUCUAGCUUGGACCAUCGAUGAAAGUGGCUACACUAAACAACAGAUUUUAAAUGUAGAUAAAACAGCAUUUUAUUGGAAAAAGAUGCCAUCUAGGACUUUCAUAGUUAGAAAAACUCAAUGCCUGGCUUCAAAGGACAAGCUGACUCUUGUCAGGGGCUAGUGCAGCUGUGACUUUCAGUUAAAGCCAAUGCUCAUUGACUAUUCUGAAAAUCCCAGGGCCCUUAAGAUAUGCUGUAUAAACGCAACAACAAAGCCUGGAUGACGUUGGGUCUGUUUACAGCCUGGUCUACUGAGUAAGCCCACUGUUGAGACCUAGUGCUCAGAAAAAAUAGAUUUCUUUCAAAAUAUGGCUGGGUGCAGUGGCUCACACCGGUAAUCCCAGCACUUUGGGAGGCUGGGGCGGGUGGAUUGCUUGAUGCCAGGAGUUCAAGACCAGCCUGGGCAACAUGGUGAAACCCUGUCUCAAAAAACAAAUCCAAAAAACCAAAAUAUUGCUACUCAUUAACAAUGCACCUGGUUACCCAAGAGCUCUGAUGGAGAUGUACAAGGAGAUGAAUACUGUUUUCAUGCCUGCUAACACAGUAUCCAUUCUGCUGCUGAUAGAUCAAGAAGUACUUUUGACUUUCAAAACUUGUUAUUUAAGAAAUACAUUUUGUGGUUUCUCUGAUGGUUCUGGGCAGUCAGUUCAAAACCUUCUGGAAAGGAUUCACCAUUCUAGAUGCCAUCAAGAGCAUUCAAUUCACGGGAGGAGGUCAAAAUAUCAACAUUAAUUGGAAUUUGGAAGAAAUAGAUUCCAAUCCUCAUGGAGGACUUGGAGGGUUUCAAGACUUCAGAGGAGGAAGGAACUGUAGAUGGGCUGAAAAUAGCAAGAGAACUAGAAGUGGAGGGGCCUAGAGAUGUGACCGAAUUGCUGUAACCUCAGGAUCAAACUUGUAUGGAUGAGAAGUUCCUUCUCAUGGACGAGCAAAGAAGGUGAUUUCUUGAAAUGGAAUCUACUCCUGGUGAAGAUGCUAUGAACAUUGUUGAAAUGACAAAAGAUUUAGAAUAUUCCAUAAACUUAGCUGUGGCCAGGGUUUGAGAGGAUUGACUCCUAAUUUUGAAGUUCUACUGUGGGUAAAUGCUGUCAAACAGCAUUGCAUGCCACAGAGGAAUCUCUCAUGAAAGAGUUAAUAAAUGCAGCAAACUUCACUGUUGUCUUACUUUAAGAAACUGCCACAGUCACUGCAGGCUUCAGCAACUUAUCUUUUCCUACCCUCCUCUCGCAUUUAAAAGUACUUUUAAAUUAAUGUAUGUACAUUAUUUUUAGGCAUAACACUGCUGCUCAUUUAAAAAAACUACAGUAUGAACCAUGUUAUAUGCAGUGGAAAGGCAAAAAAUUCAUGUGACUUACUUGCUUGUAUUUGGUUUAUUGCAGUGGUCUGGAACUGAAAGUGAUGCGUAUUUCUGAGUUAUGCCUGUAUUUAAGAAGCUGAGUGAAACCCAAAGAAGUCCAUGAUAGGACAGACUUCUGAAAACUAAAGACAGAAAAAAGCUUGAAAGCAUCAAGAAAGAAGUGAAAUCUUAGCUAGAGGGAAAAGUAACUCAGAUGACAGUGGAUUUCUCUCUGGAAACCAUGGAGGCCAGAAGGAAGUGAGACAAGUUCUUUUAGUGCCAGAAGAACUAUCAACUUGUGGCUGGGCACGGUGGCUCACACCUGUAAUCCCAGCACUUUGGGAGACCAAGGUGGGCAGAUCACUUGAAGUCAGGAGUUUGAGACCAGCCUGGCCAACAUGGCAAAACCCUGUCUCUACUAAAAAUACAAAAAUUAGCCAGGCAUGGUGGCACAUGCCUGUAAUCUCAGCUACUUGGGAGGCUGAGGCACGAGAAUUACUUGAACCCGGGAGGUGGAGGUUGCAGUGAGCCAAGAUCCUGCCACUGCACUCCAGCCUGGGCAACAGAGCAAGACUGCCUCAAAACAAAACUCUGUCAACUCCAAAUUCCUAUUUGGUGAAAUGAUCCUUCAGGAUUGAUGGGGUAAUAAAAACAUUCUCGGUUGAUAGAAAACUAAAAGAAUUUGUUGAAUGAGUCUACCCUAUAGACCUUGAAAAGACCAACCCUAAAGGAAGUUCUUGAACCAGAAAGGAAACAUUUAAAAAAAAAAAGUUUUGGGAUGUCAGGAAUAACGAUGGAAACAGCAAAAAUAUGGGUAAAUACAAUAGACUUUCCUCCUUGAGUUUUCUAAAUUGGUAGUGGAAGCAAAAUUGUCUGACAUAGAUCUCAAUGUACGUAGCAGGUUAUGUUUAAGACAAUUAUAAAUGGGGUGGGGAGGGGACGGGCAAGAGAGUUUUCUACAUUUCACUCUAACUGGUAAAAUGUAGAUAUCAACAGAUCUUUAUAUAGCAGUGAAGCAGUUCCAUAUCUCAAAUGUGUUGGUAGGAAGAUAAAAUGGCAUAAAAUGAUAUACAUUGUGCAAAUAUCAAUUUCCUGUAGUUACGUAAAGAUGUAUCUGUACUGUCUUUUCAACUCCCUGUAAGUCUGUAACUAUUGCGAAAUCAAAAGCUUUAAAAAGUAUAGGAUGAAAGUAUUGAAUAUGCUGCUUUAAAAGGGACAGGGUACAGUUUUAUUGGCUUAGAGAAAAAAAGCGGGGGCAGGGAUGAGGUGACAGUCCUCCUCACCUGAAUAAUUGCAGCUGAGGAUUAAACAUAUCUCUUCCCAAAUACUUUAUCUUCUAGGUAUACUUCUCUUACAAUUUAUUAGAAAGCUGGUUACUUGAGAUAACUAAAGAGAUACUAAUUUUCAUGCAAACCCAUCACAAUGUAUUGAAACUGAGAUACUUUUCUGCUGCUAACAUAUUUAGGAAAAAUAGUUUUAUUUUUAGUAAAUAAAAUCUCCACUUAUUUCAAUAAAAAUGGCAAGGAGAAAAUGUCAUAAGAUUAUCCUGCCAUGUAAAAUAAGCUGCUCCCCAAAGGACUGUGUCAAGAUUGGUUUUAAAUAGAAAAUAUCUAUUUUAAAUAUAUUUAGAUUAUAAUUGCCUGGGGGUUGGCAAACUUUUUCUGUAAAGGGCCAGAUACUAAAUACCUUAGGCUGUACGGGCCUUCAGAUCUCUGUCACAACUGUUCACCCGCGCGGUGUAGUGUGAAGGCAUCCACAUACAAAAUGUAAACACACAGGUGUGGCUGUUCUAAUAAAACCUCACCAAACAGGCAGCACAGGCCACAGUAUGCUGACCUCUGCACUAGCCUCAUCUCAGGUUAACUGUCCUCUAGUUAUUAAAAAAGAAACCCAAAAUUAAGUUACACAAAAGUAAUUUUUAAAAACUACUUUGGACGUUAAAAUGGGGCCAAAGGUAGAAUCCACGGAGGUAAAAGUUCUUGACGAGCAGUCAGGAAAUCUGAAUGAUUCUGUCCUUUGUUCUGCCCAUAACCAGCUGUGAGCUCUUGGGCAAAUCACAUAUUCCCUCUGCGAUUCCAUUAUUGCAUCUCUAAUCUGAAAAAGUAGAGGAGGGAUUCCAUCCAAUUUUGUUACUAUAAAUUUCAGUUCAAGCAAACUUACUCCCACUGUUACCAACAAAAGUUUCAAAAGACUCAUUUAAAUAAUUUAUAACAUAGUUCUGGUUAGGCAUGAUGAGCUAAAAAUGAGAGUUGGGGUAUUAAAAGCAAACAAAAAAAGCUGAAAUAUGAAGACUAUCCAAAAAACAACAGCAUCAAAAACCAUGAAAUACACAGGGAUACAGUUAAAGGAUAUAUAGGAUCUCUGCACUGAAAAAUGUAAAACACUGCUGAGAAAAAAUGAAGUAAAUGGAAAAACAUGUUUAUGGAUUGGAUGACUACUUGACUUAUAGAUUCAGUGAAUCCUAAUAAAAAUCCACAAGGCUUCUUCUGGGAGUAGUUUGGUGGAAAUUGACAAAAUUUAUUUGGAAAUGCAAAGGACCUAGAAUAAACAAAGCAGUUUGCAGAAGAAGAAAUUAGAACGUCUGUUUUACCUGAGAUCAAGACUUACCAAGUUUUGACAAAAAGAUAAACAGAAUGGAACAAAACUAGAGCCACAGAUAUAUGGUCAAAUGAUUUUAGACCGGGCACCAAAACAGUUUAACAGUGAAAGGAGACUCUUUGACAAGUGGUGCUGGAACCACUGAACGUUCAGUAGAAUGUUCAAAGGUAUUUGAUGCCUACCUACUUUAUGGCAUAUAAAAAUACUAAUUCAAGGUGAAUCACAGACCUGAAUAUUCGCUACAACUAUCAUACUCCUAAGAAAAAUAAGAGUAUCUUCAUGAGCUUGGGUAGGCAAAGACUUCUUAAAGAGCACAAAGAAAGCAUUAACUAUAAAACAAAAAUUCAUAAAUUGGAUUUCACCAAAACUAAACCCUUCUUCUCAUCAACAGAUACUACUGAGAACAGGCAAGCUAUAGAGUGGGAAAAGAUAUGUGACACAUAAAUCUGACAAUCCUUUAUGUCCAGAAUGCACAAAGGAGUCCUAUCCAAUUAAAAGGAAAAAAGGACAUGAAAAGUACUGUCCAUUAGUCAUCAGGGAAAUGCAAACUAAACCACCAUGAGAUACCGCCACAUAUCCAGAAGCAUGGCUAAAAUGCAACAGGUGGACAAUACCAAUUGUCGGCAAGGAUGUAAAAAACAACCAGAGUACAAUGUGCUGGCAGGAACACAAAACAGCACAAUGGUUUUAGAAAACUGUUGGGCAGUUUCUUAAAAAGUUAAAUAUACAGCUACCAUAAGACCUAGCAAUUCUACUCCUAGCUUUUUAAUCCAAGAGAAAUGAAAACAUGUCCACAAAAAUCCCUGUACAAGAAUAUUUAUAGCACAUUUAUAAUAGCCCCACAGAAACAGCUCAGGGGUCCAUGAACAGAAGGAUAGCUACAUAAACUGUCAUGCAUUCAAAUAGCACGACACAACAAUAAAAAGGAACAAACCAGGCUGGGCAUGGUGGCUCACGCCUGUAAUCCCAACACUUUGGGAGGCUGAGGUGGGUGGAUCACUUGAGGUCAGGAGUUCGAGACCAGCUUGACCAACAUGGUGCAACCCCAUGUCUACUAAAAAAAAAAUACAAAAAUUAGCCGGGUGUGGUGGCGCAUGCCUGUAAUCCCAGCUACUUGGGGAGCUGAGGCAGGAGAAUCCCUUGAACCUGGGAGGUGGAGGUUGCAGUGAGCCAAGAUCCCACCAUUGCACUCCAGCCUGGGCAACAAGAGCAAAACUCCAGUCUCAACAACACAACACAAAACAAAACAAGAAAAAGCAACAAACUGCUGAUAUAAGCAUCGACAUAGAUGAAUCUCAAAGACAUCAUGCUGAGUUACAGAAGCCAAAUGGUGCAUGCUGUAUGAUUCCAACUACAUGAGUUUGAGGAUAAGGAAAACCAGUGCAACAGAACAGGAGUGUGGUUAAAGGAGUGAGUACAUUUGUCAAGCCUGAUGAGACUGUAUGGAUUUAGAUCUGUACAUUUCAUGAUAUGUAAAUUAUAUCCCCUUCUCUCCAAAACAAUAGUGAUUAAGGCUCUCGAGGUUAAGAUCAAGGUGUUCAAUCUAGCUUUUUAAAUUCCGCAACAGAUAGAAUGGAUGAGGUGGCCAAUCUUGGACAAUAAAUAUAGUACAUGGCUAUUUUUCAUUUUUAUCAGUCUAAUUCAAAUUGAGGUGUGAGUUUAAAAUGUAUUUAGGAUUAGUCUGCUGAUGCUAGUCAUCUUUCUCCUAUCUAUAUUCAUGUAUGUUGGUGUCCAUGGAUUGGUAUUUAUUUUUUCUAAACAGGUAUAGGCCUCUAUGGACUGAGUCACGCACCACCCCCAUUACAUUACUGAGGACUAUAAUUCAUGUUCUGUCUCACAUUCUCUAAGUGAUCUUUAUAACCCUUUAAUACAUUUUUCUUCCAAACUGAGGUUAGCUGGAAAAAUUUAAGAGAUUCAACAAUGAGCAUCUGUCCUUCCUCUAUACCACUACUAGAGAAAGGUAUUAAUUACCUCCUAGUUUUCAUUUGAAAACAACAAAACACAAGAUCAAUCAAAUAUCAUUUCCCAGUUGAUUAAAACUUAUACAUUUUAUACAUUUCAUAAACAACGUUUCACCACACCAAAAUAUUGUUGAAUUAUAGUUAAAACUGGAUUUAUAAACCGAGUAAACUCAAUAGUACUGUUUAGUCCUUUAUAAAUUUGGUGAUAGAAAAAAAGGAACAUUAACAGCUUUAGAUAAGUGUAGAGCUAGCUGGCAGUUAUUAAUAGAUUUUAUUUGGCCUAAUACUAUGAAGGCUCUUCAUGCCCUGUUUUUAUCUUAUAAACCAAAAAAUGCCAAUACACCUUUACAAGUAUAUUCUGAAGGGCCUCUUAAAAAAGCACCCUAUGACUCAGUAUUUAAGCACAACAGCAGCUAAAGAUACGCAGCAAACUGAAGUGGCCAGCUAAAAGAAAACAGAUCUUUCUCACAAAUACAGCAAUUAUAUUAAAUAUAUUUAUUACGAGUAUAAAAUGGUUUUUAAAAAGCCCAAAUGAUUCUGAUUUUAAAACUUGAUGACAGAUCCAUCAAGUACAAACGUGUCAUUCAAUAGUGGUUAUUUUUUCCUGGUCACCUCCUCCCUAUUUUUUCAGAGAGAUAAAUAUUUGCCUAAUACUGUGUUUAACUUCUUCCAAGACUUACCUGAGACUCAAAACUGUGGCCAUGGAUAUUCAUUAAAAACUCUAUCACUGUGGCACAAUUUCUUCUUCUGCAUUUUGGAGCUUGUUUAGGAAUGCUAGGUUCCAGGAAACUGUAUAAAUAAAGCCAAUUUAGUGAGAAAACAGUGCAACCUGGUUGUCUGAAGUGCCUGAUGAAUUUCACCUAAUGGUGUAAAGGGCACUCCCAGGUGCUUUGACAGGUUCACACAGCAGGACUGGGUGAGAUUACUGACUUUGUAUAUGUCUAUGACAUUUACACACAUUUGGGUAUUUACUGUACAUACUUUAAAAUAGUGGUUAGGUGCUGUCAUUUUCAUGAUUUUGACAGUUGAGAAACCAUGUUAGGGAGAGAGCUUUGUGUGACACCCUAAUCAGACCGUGAAGGGACAGGUCUGAGUUGUUCAUAGUGCAGAGCGAGGCAUGGCCACGGUACACAGCACACAGGUGAUAGGCAAAUAUUUAAUGCACUGAGCCUUUUGUGUGUAAGGAUAAUUAGUUACUUUAAGGUAUUCGGCAUACACUUUUACAUUUCCAUAUUUUAAUUGGACUUUACUGGUCACUGUGGGGCAUAGAUACAACUGAACUGUUCAAUCCUAAUCAAAUAAAACUAUUAGUACAUUCUUAUACAUCUUUUUGGGACAAAGUACCUCCUACUUACAGAGUAUCCAAUGUAAAUUUUUUAUGGACAAAGUAAAUGUUUAUAAAUAUUUUGGCAUUUUAUAACUUUUCCUAGCAUAGCUUGAGGGCUGAUAAGAAACUCAGCAGAAACAGGCUGUGGUUGGCAUGAAGACACUCUCUCUCUCUCUCUCUCUCUCUGCUCUAGGGGAUUUUACUCACUUUGGGACAAAAGCAAUAUAGUAGCAUCUUUUCACUGACCAAGGUAACCAGAGUGUUGAUCAGAUCACACUGAUACCUACAAGUGGCCAAAAUUAAAUGACAAGCAUGGGGGGAGGUGCCAGGAAGUGGCAGGGGUAUAGAGUGUGAGAGAGAACAGAUGCAUGUGAGUGUGGUGUGAUGAGGGAAGCAGCUCAAGAGCUGACACCUAAACCCAGAAUAAUUUCAGAGGUGAAAAAUUACCACCUCUCUUACUAGUGACAUUGAAGAGAAAAAAAAUUAGGGUUUUUCACUGAUAUGUUACUAGUAUUUAGGCAAAAACACAACAGAAACCAAAUCAAGUCACUAUAAAGCAGUAAGAAAAUAUUUAAAAAAGACAUUAUCAAACUUUAGUGAAUGUUAUUCUAAGUCUCGAAAAUUUAGAUGUCUGUUUAGACUAAAAUUUUGCCAAAAACAAAUCCAAAGUGAAAAAGUAGCAAUUUUAGUAGACAUUAACAAACAUUAUGCAGAUAUAGAUACACAUAUGAAUAAUGCAAGAGAUUUACAGAAGUGUAGUUUUGGCACUUUUACUUGGAUUUUUUAAAGAAAGUGAAUACAAAUAUCUUUGUACACAAAUUCUCAUUCUGGAGAAACAGGAUGUAGAAUUCAAAGGUGCCAACAUCUCCCUUCUUAAAAAUAACAUUGAAACGGGUAACUGUACCUGUUAAAUCUCCUGGUUGGCAACUUUUAAAAUCUGGCUUCCACCUAACUCCACAAAUUUGACAAAGUUAUUUUUGUUUGUGUAAGUGAUACUGGUUAUCCACUUCCAGUACAUGUACCAUUUGGCCAGAGGUCCAUAAAUAAUAUUAACAUUUUCAAUGUAGAAAUCUUGAAGUUCUAAAGGGAAAUAUUGCUCAGUAGAUAAAUUCUCCUGGAAUUUCUUGUAGCAAAGGUUCCUCAAAUUUAAAUCGUUUGGAAAUGGCCUUUUGCUCCAUUUUCUCUUUUUCAGACUGUCUGCAUUGUCCUAGAGUAUAUGAAGUAACUACAAUUAACUCUUCGGUUACAAUGGAUUCCUUGGUUUCUGAUUUGUCGGUAUCCGAAUUAAUUUCAGGCACAGAAUGACCUUCUUGGAGGGCAUUUGCUUCUUCUAGUGCCUUUUCCAUCCUGAAAGAAGGCUCUUGAAUACUGCUCUGUGUCAACCAGGGGUGCUUUAGACAUUCUUCAGCAGUGGCUCGAUCUCUGUAAAGAUACAUGUUUUACAGUUAAGACAUGUUAGAACUUCAAUUAAAAUUAGAGCAUAAGUUGCACCUGGACUUGAUAUGAAAGUAACCAUCAGAAAAUCAACAGAGAUCUUAAACUUGCCUACCACAGACACCUGCAGGAAUAUACUAAGAAUCAUCAUAGUGGACCUUUAUUGUCUCCUGAGCACCCAUUCUUUGUUCUUUCAGAAACACAACUGGUUUUGAGAAUCCAUCCCUUCUUCACUCAGUCCACGUAAAGGUUAGGAUGGUAGAAAGUGUUAUACCUCUUCCUCCAGAGUUGGAGCCUAUGACACUGAUGACACUGGCAUGGAAAGCCAAAGCCCUACACCAACCAGCACACUUACUGGUUCCAAAUUGAUCUACGCUGGUGUAAUCAGAGUGAAUCUCAGAACUUUGGACAGAGCUGUGAGCAGAGACUGACUUUCCUGCUGUCUCCAGGUAGCUGCAAGGCUGAACAGCAGCACCUACUUUAUUACCAUCUUACUGUCAUUCAAAGAAGGCAGAGCUGAAUGCUGGAGAAAAACUGAGUACUAGCAACAGUUUUUGAACCCUGAAUACUGUCAUAACUGAAGCUAGAAUUAUCCCUGGACUUGUUUGCCACUAAAAUUUCCUUGUUUUGCUUACCCUGGUUUCAGCUGGCACCCUGAUCACUUGAAAGGAACAUAACUGAUAUACUGUCCUUUGUUUUUCUUUCCUUCCUCUUCUCCGCCUUUGAUGAUUUUAAAUUAGAAAUCUACCUGCCUCUAAUCUCUUUAAUUUUCUCAUUUAUUUACUGCUGCCUAUUUUCCAAAACACUGCUUCUCGAAUAUUCCUGGCUCAAAAAUCAUCUAUGUCUUCAUGACAUAUGAAACCCCUAGAAUCCAGCCUUUCCCCAGCUUUUAAUAUCUCCUAAUUGAUUUCUCAAUUCCAGUGAAAUGAUUCCAUUUAUUUUUUUCCCAAACACAUCACAAAUAUUCCUAACUCUUGUGAGCAAUUUUCUCUCAUUCUUCUCAACUUAUCUAAAUCCUAACUUUUCAAAAGAUCUAGCUCAAGUUCUGUCUUAUCAUAUUUUGAGUUCCUUUCUUUGGCAUUGUAUUAUUUUGUAUCUUUCCAUGUACACAUGUGUGCAUUAUCUCCCUGAUAAAACUAACUGGCUAGAGGAUAGGAGUAAAGACUCAAUUCUAAUAUCCUUGUUACCUAAUAAUACACAAACGUGAAACAUGUUUGAAUAAAUCACUGUUAAAUA